rnacentral:rRNA from 1 species
AUUGAACGCUGGCGGCAGGCCUAACACAUGCACGUCGAACGAGUGGCGGACGGGUGAGUAAUGUCUGGGAAACUGCCUGCUGGAGGGGGAUAACUACUGGAAACGGUAGCUAAUACCGCAUACCAUCAGAUGUGCCCAGAUGGGAUUGGCUAGUUGUUGGGGUAACGGAUCACCAAGGCGACGAUCACUAGUUGGUCUGAGAGGAUGACCAGCCACACGGGAACUGAGCAACGGUCCAGACUCCUACGGGAGGCAGCAGUGGAGAAUAUUGUACAAUGGGCGCAAGCCUGAUGCAGCCAUGCCGCGUGUAUGAAGAAGGCCUUCGGGUGGGAAAGUACUUUCAGCGUGGAGGCGUUACCCGCAGAAGAAGCACCGGCUAACUCCGUGCCAGCAGCCGCGGUAAUUC